UACGUAGGGAGCAAGCGUUGUCCGGAAUCAUUGGGCGUAAAGCGCGCGUAGGCGGCCUCGUAAGUCCGUUGUGAAAGUCAAAGGCUCAACCUUUGAAAGCCGAUGGAUACUGUGAGGCUAGAGUCCGGAAGAGGCGAGUGGAAUUCCUGGUGUAGCGGUGGAAUGCGCAGAUAUCAGGAGGAACACCGGUGGCGAAGGCGGAUCUCUGGGCCUUACCUGACGCUGAGGCGCGAAAGCUAGGGGAGCGAACAGG
rnacentral:rRNA from 1 species